rnacentral:rRNA from 1 species
UACGUAGGGUGCGAGCGUUGUCCGGAAUUAUUGGGCGUAAAGGGCUCGUAGGCGGUCUGUCGCGUCGGGAGUGAAAACUCAGGGCUUAACCCUGAGCCUGCUUCCGAUACGGGCAGACUAGAGGUAUGCAGGGGAGAACGGAAUUCCUGGUGUAGCGGUGAAAUGCGCAGAUAUCAGGAGGAACACCGGUGGCGAAGGCGGAUCUCUGGGCCUUACCUGACGCUGAGGAGCGAAAGCAUGGGGGGCAAACAGG